GUGAGUAGUUCAGAGUUUGAUCCUGGCUCAGGAUGAACGCUAGCGGCAGGCUUAACACAUGCAAGUCGAGGGGCAGCAUGAGACGGAGAUUCGUCGAAGUCUUGAUGGCGACCGGCGCAAGGGUGCGUAACGCGUGAGCAACUUGCCCGUUUCAGGGGGAUAACCGUUGGAAACGACGACUAAUACCCCAUAGUAUCGUGAAGAGGCAUCUCUUUAUGAUUAAAGAAUUUCGGAAACGGAUAGGCUCGCGUGACAUUAGCUAGAUGGCGGGGUAACGGCCCACCAUGGCAACGAUGUCUAGGGGUUCUGAGAGGAAGGUCCCCCACACUGGAACUGAGACACGGUCCAG
rnacentral:rRNA from 1 species